CAUCUACAACCAGCUUUCGAUCACCCUGAACUGAGAGGGCAAAAGCCACUGGAUCCACCGGAGAGACCCAAUGGCGACAAUCCGAUGGAUUCAGUGCCGGAAGGUUUUCAGGUUGGUCAAAUUCAGGCGAGUUAUGUCCAGAAGGAACAAUUCCGAUAAGAAGAACCAAAGAAGAAGGUAUACUAAGAGCUAGUUCUGUUGCAAGAUUUGGGAGACAAAUUAGUAGACCCGUUAGACGCGACACUACGAGCAGUAACCACGAGCAUGCAGUUGGGUAUGUAAUC